rnacentral:lncRNA from 1 species
CCUUGUUAUAAAUUAUUUACAUUUAUCUUUUUAAGUUCUUCACAGUAUUGUAUCUUUCCAUCAGACAAGUGCUCAGAAGACGUACAUAAACAGAAGUCUGAACCAUUCUUAAAGACUUUGGAUUGCUGACUCCUCAAGGCGAAGCCUAAUUAUUUUGCAAAUGUGAAGACAAAAUGAAAAGUUAGCAUCUUUAAUGGAGAUAUAAAUUUGAUGAUGGUGGAGGAAUCUUUUCCUAUAUUUCUGUAGCGUUAAAAUGGGAUUCAGACAGAGAUAUCCAGAUGUAUUGUCACGGUGUCAUAUCUACGAAUGGAUUCUUCUGGAAAACAUAAUGCAGGCUUGCUCUCAGCACAAUAAUAUUUGACAGAGGAAAAGAAAAAUUGGAGGAAGUAGGCAUGAUAUUUAUAAUUCGCUACACUAGAAGAUGGUGGAAUAGGAACAGCUCCAGCCUUCAGCUCCCAGCAUGAGUGACACAGAAGAUGGGUGAUUUCUGCAUUUUCAACUGAGGUACCAGAUUCAUCUAACUAGGGCGUGUCAGACAGUCGGUGCUGGUCAGUGGGUGCAGCCCGACCAGUGAGAGCUGAAGUAGGACAAGGCAUCACCUCACCUGGUAAGCACAAGGGGGAAGGGAAUUCCUUUUCCUAGCCCAGGGAAACUGAGACACGCAACACCUGGAAAAUCGGGUAACUCCCACCCUAAUACUGCACUUUACCAAGGGUCUUAGCAAAUGGCACACCAGGAGAUUAUAUCCCACACCUGGCCCGGAGGGUCCCACACCCAUGGAGCCUCCCUCAUUGCUAGCACAGCAGUCUGAGAUCUAACUGCAAGGUGGCAGCGAGGCUGGGGAAUAGACUCCACUUCUGGGGACAGGGCAUAGCUAAACAAAAAGCAGCAGAAACCUCUGCAGAUGUAAAUGUCCCUGUCUGACAGCUUUGAAGAGAGCAGUGGAUCUCCCAGCAGGGAGGUUGAGAUCUGAGAACAGACAGACUGC